rnacentral:tRNA from 1 species
GGGCAGGUAGCUCAGUCGGUAGAGCACGGGACUGAAAAUCCCGGUGUGGUCGGUUCGAUCCCGACCCUGCCCACCA